GUAGGUGAACCUGCGGAAGGAUCAUUGUCGAAUCCUGCAGACGACCGCGAACACGUGAACAAACCGCGGGCAGGCGGGGAGGCCGGGGCGACCUUGCCCUCCUGCCUUGCCCGCACCAAACCUAACUCUCGGCACGGAAAGUGCCAAGGACUACUCAAACGGAUUGCCCGUCUCCGCCGCGGCUUCUGCGGUCGGGGACGCCGGCGUCUGGAACGUAACCAAUACGACUCUCGGCAACGGAUAUCUAGGCUCUCGCAUCGAUGAAGAACGUAGCGAAAUGCGAUACUUGGUGUGAAUUGCAGAAUCCCGUGAACCAUCGAGUUUUUGAACGCAAGUUGCGCCCGAAGCCAUUAGGCUGAGGGCACGUCUGCCUGGGCGUCACGCAUCUCGUCGCCACCCCGUCUCCCCGCGGGGGAGAAGGGGCGGCGGAUGUUGGCCUCCCGUGCCCCCGGGCGCGGCCGGCCCAAAUGCGAGUCCUCGGCUCGGGACGUCACGACUAGUGGUGGUUGAACCCUCGAUUGCUCUCAAGUCUUGACGGCCCCCCGACGGGCUGGAACGACCCUAGA
rnacentral:misc_RNA from 2 species